AGCGAACGCUGGCGGCAGGCCUAAUACAUGCAAGUCGAACGGUCUCUUCGGAGGCAGUGGCGGACGGGUGAGUAACGCGUGGGAAUAUGCCCUUUGGUACGGAACAACUGAGGGAAACUUCAGCUAAUACCGUAUGUGCCCUUCGGGGGAAAGAUUUAUCGCCAUUGGAGUAGCCCGCGUUGGAUUAGGUAGUUGGUGGGGUAAAGGCCUACCAAGCCUACGAUCCAUAGCUGGUCUGAGAGGAUGAUCAGCCACACUGGGACUGAGACACGGCCCAGACUCCUACGGGAGGCAGCAGUAGGGAAUCUUGCGCAAUGGGCGAAAGCCUGACGCAGCCAUGCCGCGUGAAUGAUGAAGGUCUUAGGAUUGUAAAAUUCUUUCACCGGGGAAGAUAAUGACGGUACCCGGAGAAGAAGCCCCGGCUAACUUCGUG
rnacentral:rRNA from 1 species